rnacentral:rRNA from 1 species
UACGUAGGUGGCAAGCGUUGUCCGGAUUUACUGGGCGUAAAGAGCGCGCAGGCGGUUAUUCAAGUCGAAUGUGAAAGCCCCCGGCUUAACUGGGGAGGGUCAUUCGAUACUGUUUAACUUGAAGGCAGGAGAGGGUAGUGGAAUUCCCGGUGUAGUGGUGAAAUGCGUAGAUAUCUGAAGGAACAUCAGUGGCGAAAGCGACUUCCUGGACCAAUACUGACGCUCAUGUGCGAAAGCGUGGGGAGCAAACAGG